AUUUGAACUUCAAUUACAAAAGUUGUACGUAAAUUCUGAUAUUUUUCUUACUAAAAAUCUGGGUUAAUAUUUUUUGAUUAUUUUGGCUUCUAGUCGACUGAAAUUUGAAAUCGGAUAAUCUGCCAAUUGGCUGUUUAAACCAGCGAACAAUUAUUAAGUAAUAAGCGAUUCGGGUCAGGGCGAUCAUGUGGCACUCAUGAAUCAUGCAGACACAUUGGCCGCACCCCUGUUCAAUUCAAUUCGAAUGGAAUCGAAUCGAAUCCACCGGCAGCCAUGACUUGAGCAAUUAUUGACAAAUUGCGGGCGGAGACAAAAGCGAUGGGAUGGGGCAGGGUGAUUCCAAGUUGAGAAUCGGGAAUGGGAAUGGGAAUUACGUAUUGAUGGCCCUAAAUGCUGACGUUUACGCUCAGGCGUUAUUUCUCACCCCGUUACAGACGCAGCUUGUGUGCUUUUCCCCUCCCCACCUUUCUACUGACGCCGAGGUCGUAGGUCAUGGUGGGGGAUGGCCACUUCGUUCUCUCAUGGGCGUAGCGACAGGAAAUUUAAUUACAAGGCA